rnacentral:rRNA from 1 species
GACGAACGCUGGCGGCGUGCUUAACACAUGCAAGUCGAGCGGGAUCCAACCGGUGGCAACACCGGGGAAGAUCUAGCGGCGAACGGGUGAGUAACACGUGAGCAACCUGCCCCGAAGACUGGGAUAACACCGGGAAACCGGUGCUAAUACCGGAUGUCGUCAUUAGGCCGCAUGACCUGAUGAUGAAAGGAUUCAUCGCUUCGGGAGGGGCUCGCGGGCUAUCAGCUUGUGGUGGGGUAACGGGCCUACCAAGGCGACGACGGCUAGCUGGUCUGAGAGGACGACCAGCCACACUGGGACUGAGACACGGCCCAGACUCCUACGGGAGGCAGCAGUGGGGAAUCUUGCGCAAUGGGCGAAAGCCUGACGCAGCGACGCCGCGUGAGGGAUGACGGCCUCGG